rnacentral:rRNA from 1 species
CUACGGGAGGCUCCAGUGGGGAAUAUUGCACAAUGGGCGCAAGCCUGAUGCAGCCAUGCCGCGUGUAUGAAGAAGGCCUUCGGGUUGUAAAGUACUUUCAGCGGGGAGGAAGGGAGUAAAGUUAAUACCUUUGCUCAUUGACAUUACCCGCAGAAGAAGCACCGGCUAAGUCCGUGCCAGCAGCCGCGGUAAUACGGAGGGUGCAAGCGUUAAUCGGAAUUACUGGGCGUAAAGCGCACGCAGGCGGUUUGUUAAGUCAGAUGUGAAAUCCCCGGGCUCAACCUGGGAACUGCAUCUGAUACUGGCAAGCUUGAGUCUCGUAGAGGGGGGUAGAAUUCCAGGUGUAGCGGUGAAAUGCGUAGAGAUCUGGAGGAAUACCGGUGGCGAAGGCGGCCCCCUGGACGAAGACUGACGCUCAGGUGCGAAAGCGUGGGGAGCAAACAGGAUUAGAUACCCCUGUAGUC